rnacentral:tRNA from 2 species
GCGGGUAUAGUACAAUGGUAGUACGCGAGCUUCCCAAGCUUGAUACGUGGGUUCGAUUCCCACUACCCGCUCCA